UGGCCGUAGAUAUGAGCCUGCAGCUCGGCGUUUCAUCAUCGGUUCCUCUUCUUCUUCUUCUUUUCCUAUUUCCCUAGUUGCCGUCUCUUCUUAGCAAGAGCGCGCAGCCGGGCCCGGAUGACAUGGUGAGAACAUGCACGCAUCGUGUGUCGCACAAAAAUUCAGUAGAUGAUCAUCCCCGUCGGCUUCCACAGCGCAGCGGGCAGCUCAUGCGCGAUAAGAGCAGUUGCACUUGCAUACUUGCAUGCAUUCUCCGAUCCACCCAUAUACACAGGUAGAGAUGUCAAUGGGGACCCGAUACCCAUCAACCCGUGGGGAAUUCCCCUAUUAGGGUAUGGGUAUGAGACAAAAAUUGUACCCAUGAGUAUAGACUAGGUAUAUGCCCGUGCGUUGCAACGGAAGACACUUGUGUAUACAUAGUCAUUUUUAGUAAUGCUAUCAAGAAUCAACUCAUAAAUCAUAACAAAUGUUGAAGUCUCUCAUUUGAAACAACCAAAAUUUGGCUCAAUGGCAUUAUUAAUCGAAAUAUGCAAAUCCUAGGUUGAUAAUACAGGAUAUGAUGAUGUACCAUGGCCUUCAUAGAACAAUUUUGUAUUGUAGGGUGAAAAAUUAUAAAACUAUAUUCUAAGCAUAUUGAAAGGGAUGGUGAGUUGUGAUUAUCAAAAUUCAUGUUCAACUCAAGUUCACACAAUUGUCAAGUCUCUAUUGUACAUACUCGUUCUCAAGCAACAAAAAAUAUAUAUAUACUCAGGUUAGACAGGGAUUGUUGGGGCGAAGGCAAAGACGCCACCCUUCGCUCGAGGCCUUCGCUGCAGCCGCUGGUCCGACAGAGACAAAGCGGGCAGGGACACCCUUCGCAAGACUCGGCACGUUGACGAAGGCCUGCGGCGACGUCCUACCACGGCGCGUCCUCGUUCAAUCCCAAGGCCCACGUGCGAUCUGGCCCAUUGUAACGGGCCCCGCGUGGCCGCCUCUGUAUUACGGGCCUGACUUGUAAAGGAGUACUUGUAAUUACGGUCUGUAACCCUGCUUUAUGGGAAUAUUCUGGGGAUAAAAUAGGUGUCUGAGGGCACAUGCGUCCUUAACACAAGACGCUGGGCACUCAGAUACCUAUAAAUACCCCCGCACAGUGCCCGUGAGAGGCUAGAUCAACAGUGCUAUUGCCCCCGUGCACGUAACCCUGUUGUCACCACCGUUCACUCUUGUUGGCCUUCUUGCUGCAGAGAGCAAGUUCCAACAGGGAUCAACUCAAGUUCACACAAUUGAC
rnacentral:lncRNA from 1 species